rnacentral:misc_RNA from 1 species
AAUUUUCCAACAAUUGAUAAUUUACAGGUCUCCCUUAGCUCAGAUAUGAUGAUACAGUCUCAACUUUCAUAGUUUCUUGUUUUAGGACUUGAAAAGAUAACGUUUCUAAUGGCAGAGCGUUCACAGUUCGAUCAUGAUCGCGUUCUUGCUCAUAAAUUCCCUGAGUCAACGUACGUUUAUACCGAAAGAGAUGCAGCAAUUUAUGCCUUGGGCGUUGGAGCUUGUGGUCGCGAUGCCAUUGAUGCUGACGAGCUCAAAUAUGUUUAUCAUGAAAAUGGGCAGCAAUCUAUUCAGGUCUUGCCAACAUUUGCUGCUCUACUUUCACUUGGAUCGAUGACAAAUGGUAUAGAUUUGCCUGGCCUGCAAUAUGAUCCACGUCUUCUUCUGCAUGGACAGCAAUAUAUAGAACUGUAUAGGCCAUUUCCAUCAAGUGCAUCGAUACAAAAUAAAGUUAGUCUCGCUGGAUUGCAUGACAAAGGUAAGGCAGCUAUUGUUGAGAUUGAAACAAAAAGUUAUGAGAAAGAGUCUGGUGAAUUAUUAUGCAUGAACAGAUCAACUAUUUUUCUUCGAGGUGCUGGUGGCUUCUCAAACUCAACUCGCCCAUAUUCUUACUCCAAUUAUCCAAACAACCAGGUUACAGCUGCUAAAAUUCCAAAAAGUCAACCUUUUGCAGUAUUUGAAGAUCUUAUUCAACCAUCUCAGGCAUUGUUAUAUAGGCUAUCUGGUGAUUAUAAUCCUCUCCAUUCAGAUCCUAUGAUUGCUAAAGUUGCGGGAUUCUCCCGUCCAAUAUUGCAUGGGCUAUGCACACUUGGAUUUGCAGUUAGGGCCAUCAUCAAAUGCAUUUGUAGAGGAGAUGCAACCAUUGUUAAGAACAUAUUUGGGCGAUUCCUUUUACAUGUGUACCCUGGUGAAACCUUGAUCACUGAAAUGUGGCUUGAUGGUUUGAGGGUUAUAUAUCAGGCAAAGGUAAAAGAAAGAAACCGGGCAGUUUUGUCAGGCUUUGUGGGUCUCC